rnacentral:rRNA from 1 species
CCUACGGGUGGCAGCAGUGGGGAAUAUUGCACAAUGGGGGAAACCCUGAUGCAGCAACGCCGCGUGAGUGAAGAAGUAUUUCGGUAUGUAAAGCUCUAUCAGCAGGGAAGAAGAUGACGGUACCUGAUUAAGAAGCCCCGGCUAACUACGUGCCAACAGCCGCGGUAAUACGUAGGGGGCAAGCGUUAUCCGGAUUUGCUGGGUGUAAAGGGAGCGCAGACGGCAGUGCAAGUCUGGAGUGAAAGCCCGGGGCCCAACCCCGGAGCUGCGCUGGAAACUGUGCGGCUAGAGUACUGGAGGGGCAGGCGGAAUUCGCAGUGUAGCGGUGAAAUGCGUAGAUAUUAGGAGGAACACCAGUGGCGAAGGCAGCCUGCUGGCUAGAAACUGACGUUGAGGCUCGAAAGCGUGGGUAGCAAACAGGAUUAGAUACCCGUGUAGUC